GAUGAACGCUGGCGGCGUGCCUAAUACAUGCAAGUCGAGCGAACAGACGAGGGGCUUGCUCCUCUGACGUUAGCGGCGGACGGGUGAGUAACACGUGGAUAACCUACCUAUAAGACUGGGAUAACUUCGGGAAACCGGAGCUAAUACCGGAUAAUAUAUUGAACCGCAUGGUUCAAUAGUGAAAGACGGUUUUGCUGUCACUUAUAGAUGGAUCCGCGCCGCAUUAGCUAGUUGGUAAGGUAACGGCUUACCAAGGCAACGAUGGGUAGCCGACCUGAGAGGGUGAUCGGCCCCACUGAAUCUGAGAGACGGGCCAGACUCCUACGGGGGGCAGCAGUCGGAACUAUACCGCAAUGGGCGAAAGCGUGACGGGUCAACGCCGCGUAACUGCAGACGUUCCUCGGAUCGUCAAACUCUCUUAUUAGGGAAGAACAAAUUUGUACGUAACUAUGCGCGUCUUGACGGUACCAAAAAAGACAGCCUCGGCUAACUACGU
rnacentral:rRNA from 1 species